rnacentral:rRNA from 1 species
GUGAUGAUGGCGAAGAGGUCACACCCGUUCCCAUUCCGAACACGGAAGUUAAGCUCUUCAGCGCCGAUGGUAGUUGGGACCUUGUCCCUGUGAGAGUAGGACGUCGCUAGGC